rnacentral:rRNA from 1 species
UAGGGAAUCUUCGGCAAUGGACGAAAGUCUGACCGAGCAACGCCGCGUGAGUGAAGAAGGUUUUCGGAUCGUAAAACUCUGUUGUUAGAGAAGAACAAGGACGUUAGUAACUGAACGUCCCCUGACGGUAUCUAACCAGAAAGCCACGGCUAACUACGUGCCAGCAGCCGCGGUAAUACGUAGGUGGCAAGCGCUGUCCGGAUUUAUUGGGCGUAAAGCGAGCGCAGGCGGUUUCUUAAGUCUGAUGUGAAAGCCCCCGGCUCAACCGGGGAGGGUCAUUGGAAACUGGGAGACUUGGGUGCAGAAGAGGAGAGUGUAAUUCCAUGUGUAGCGGUGAAAUGCGUAGAUAUAUGGAGGAACACCAGUGGCGAAGGCGGCUCUCUGGUCUGUAACUGACGCUGAGGCUCGAAAGCGUGGGGAGCAAACAGG